UUCCAGACGAGUUGGAGGACGAAGAACCCUUAGCUGACCUUAUAGACUUCUCCGAUGCCGAGCAGUUCUCGGCCGAUUCGGACGACGAGGAAAUUGACCUGAGAUAACUGUCGAAGGGUCAGUCCAAUACGAUUUUGUUAACUUGGAAACAAAAUUAUGAGCAUAAUAGUCAAAAUAACACUCGUAACGGGUCGGACACUUUUCUCUUAAAUCAAUAACUUGAACUGUUACUCGCUUAAGAGCGACAGUUCAUUAAUGCAGUUACUUAAAUUUUGAACGCUAUCAUUAUAGGAGUCAGAACCUACUUUUUUCCUUUACUUAGUAGUUAUUCUUUUUUUUGUUUUUAAAUAUAUAAAGCAAAAUAUAAUGAACUCUUUAUCCCCUGGAAGCCGAACGCUUUCUUUUCUCCGAGUUUCUUUGAUAACAGUUCCAGCUCCCCAUCCACCUGCACAUAAAUUGUAUUACUUAUUAGGAUAUGAAAAUGAUUUUAAAACAGUUAAGAUUUCUUUUAAAUCAAAAUUUGAACUUUAUUAAUGUUUUACUGGCAGAAACAUCAAAGAAGAAAUUACCUAUUAAA